rnacentral:tRNA from 1 species
UGGUAUAUAGCUCAAUUGGAUAGAGCGCAACACUACGAAUGUUGAGGAUGCCAGUUCAAGUCUGGCUAUACCAU